rnacentral:pre_miRNA from 1 species
UAUGUACUUCCUCUGUCCCAAAAAUUUUGUCUUAUAUUUGUCUAAAUACGGAUAUAUCAAGUCAUGUUUUAGUAUUAGAUACAUCCGUAUCUACAAAUCUAAAACAAGAAUUUUGGGACGAAGGGAGUACUUC